rnacentral:rRNA from 1 species
GAUGAACGCUAACUACAGGCUUAACACAUGCAAGUCGAGGGGAAACGGCAUUAAGUGCUUGCACUUUUUGGACGUCGACCGGCGCACGGGUGAGUAACGCGUAUCCAACCUUCCCAUGACUAAGGGAUAACCUGCCGAAAGGCAGACUAAUACCUUAUGGUCUUCACUGACGGCAUCAGAUGUGAAGUAAAGAUUUAUCGGUUAUGGAUGGGGAUGCGUCUGAUUAGCUUGUUGGCGGGGUAACGGCCCACCAAGGCAACGAUCAGUAGGGGUUCUGAGAGGAAGGUCCCCCACAUUGGAACUGAGACACGGUCCAAACUCCUACGGGAGGCAGCAGUGAGGAAUAUUGGUCAAUGGGCGAGAGCCUGAACCAGCCAAGUAGCGUGCAGGAUGACGGCCCUAUGGGUUGUAAACUGCUUUUGUAUGGGGAUAAAGUCAAUCACGUGUGAUUGUUUGCAGGUACCAUACGAAUAAGGACCGGCUAAUUCCGUG